CUUUGCCUGCCGCCAUCCACCUAAGAUGUUACUUGCUCCUCCUUGCCUUCUGCCAUGAUUGUGAGGCCUCCCCAGUCAUGUGGACUGAAGUCAGAGACUCCAAAUGGAGGGGCCGGCUGAAGCCAUGGCAGAAGAACGUGGAUUGUGAAGAUUUCUUGGACAUUUAUUAGUUCCCCAAAUUAAUACUUUUAUAAUUUGUUAUGCCUGUCUUUACUGCAAUCUCUAAACAUAAACUGUAAAGAUUUCAUGGACACUUAUCACUUCCCCAAUUAAUACCCUUGUGAUUUCCUAUGCCUGUCUUUAAUCUCUUAAUCCUGUCAGCUGAGGAGGAUGUAUAUCGCCUCAGGACCCUGUAAUAAUUGCAUUAACUGCACAAAUUGUACAGCAUGUGUGUUUGAGCAAUAUGAAAUGUGGGCACCUUAAAAAAAGAACAGCAUAACAGCAAUUGUUCAGGGAAUAAGAGAGAUAACCUUAAACUCUGUCCACCAGUGAGCUGGGUGGAACAGAGCCAUAUUUCUCUUCUUUCAAAAGCAAAUGGGAGAAAUAUCACCGAAUUCUUUUUCUCAGCAUGGAACAUCCCCGAGAAAGAGAAUGCGCACCUGGGGGUAGGUCUCUAAACUGGCCCCACUGGGCGUGGUCGUCUCUUAUGGUCGAGACUGCAGAGGUGAGAUAGACUCCAGUCUCCCAUAGCGCUCCCAGGCUUAUUAGGAAGACGAAAUUCCUGCCGAAUAAAUUUUGGUCCGAUGGUUGAUCUCAAAACUCUGUCUCCUGAUAAGAUGUUAUCAAUGACAACAGUGCCUGAAACUUCAUUAGCAAUUUUAAUUUUGCCUCAGUCCUGUGGUCCUGUGAUCUCACCCUGCCUCCACUUGCCUUGUGAUAUUCUAUUACCUUGUAAAGUACUUUAUGUCUGUGACCCACACCUAUUUGCACACUCCCUCCCCUUUUGAAACUCCCUAAUAAAAACUUGCUGGUUUUUGUGGCUUGUGGGGCAUCACGGAACCUACUGACAUGCGAUGUCUCCCCC
rnacentral:lncRNA from 1 species